CGGCCUGAGGUCGGACGAGGCUACCCGCUGAAUUUAAGCAUAUUACUAAGCGGAGGAAAAGAAACUAACGAGGAUUCCCUCAGUAACGGCGAGUGAAGCGGGACGAGCCCAGCGCCGAAUCCGGCCGCUUAUGGAGCGGACGGAAUUGUGGCGUAUGGAAUUCG
rnacentral:ncRNA from 1 species